CAUUUCAUAUAAAACUUUGUAUGUUUUGUCUCCUCUGUAGGCAACAGUUAGCAUAAGUCACUCUUACAACGUACAAUUCAACUCCAUUCAGCCUUAUUACUAAAGCACCUCUAACACACACACACACAAAACAAACAGACAUAAUCACAUACAAUCAUAAUGUAAGUUGGUUUUUAGUUACUGUAGUGGUCUCAAAUCGGAGUACUUAAAAAGGAGGUGAUAUGGAAAACAAAAAUAUAUCGGAUUAAAAAGAUACUUCGCGUUACAGCUCCAAGUACAUUAGCAUGUGCGAUAUUUAAGCCUCCUUUUUAAAGGCAUUAGGUUUUAGACCACUGGAUGGGUAGAUGUUUAUAUGUAAAGAAAAAUUAAACAA